AAUUCAGUUAAAAAUGUCAGUUCCUAUGGCUUUAUGAUGUAUAAAUAUGAAUUUAAAGCAAAGGUCAAAAUCUAGAACGUCCAAUUAACCUUUGACCUUGACCUCAAUUUCAAGGUCAUAGACUAAACAUCUCGAAUCAAAAGACACUAGUUCCUUAAUAUGUAUGGUUCAUGAGUAAUAUCACUUUACGCAUAAUUCUAAAUAUAAGAGGGGCGAAAACUCCCGUUUAUUGUCUACGCACCCUUGCAACCAAAAUUUAUAAGUUACGACAUGUCGCAACUAACAAUUUAGUAAAAAUAAUUUGUCGAUAUCUUAUAAGGUUAAUGAAAAUAAGUGAAAAUAAGCCAAAAUCAAAAUUUAGAAUUUGACCUUGACCUUUGACCUUGACCUAAUUUUCAUUUUUUUGGACCAAGGAUCUUAAAUCAAAAGACCCUAGGUCUCUAUCACUUAUGGUUUACCAGUUAGAAAUGCAUAUCACUUAUAUCAUAUAUAAAAGGGGGGAUAACUCUCAUAUGGAGUCUCCGGAUAGCUUCGGUCAAAAUAAAACAAAACAUCCUGAGGAUAUAACGAGCAAUUUGGAAAAAUAAAUUUGUCGGUUUCUUAUACGGUUGCGAAGCCUUAGAGAUAACAAGAAAAACAGUGUUCGGGGAGAUAACUCUUACAAGGUAAAGUUUUUUUGUUACGCGGUGUCAGUUUCAGAAGCGUAUUAACUGUUCGAUAUCAUAUACCAUAUAUCUAAGCGACAUCUUGGGAAACAAAAAAACAGUGAAGGAAAAAAAAGUUGGCGGAAGAAAAAAAAAUAAAUAAUUAAAAACCAAUUGUUCAGAGAACAAUUGAAGGUCUUUCAACCAAUAAGGCUCUAUUUUGAAAUAAAAAUAUUAAAAUUCAGUUAAAAUUGUCAGUUUCUAUGGCUUUAUGAUGUAUAUAUAUGAAUUUCGAGCAAAGGUCAAUAUCUAGAACGUCAAAUUGAACUAUGACCUUGACCUCAAUUUCAAGGUCAUAGACUAAACAUCUCAGAUCAAAAGACACUAGUUCCUUAAUAUGUAUGGUUCAUGAGUAAUAUCACUUUACGCAUAAUUGUUAAUAUAAAGGGGCAAAAAUUCGCGUUUAUUGUCUACAUACCCUUGCAACCAAAAUUUAUAAGUUACGACAUGUCGCAACUAACAAUUUAGUAAAAAUAAUUUGUCGAUAUCUUAUAAGGUUAAUGAAAAUAAGUGAAAAUAAGCCAAAAUCAAAAUUAGAAUUUGACCUUGACCUUUGACCUUGACCUAAUUUUCAUUUUGUUGGACCAAAGGAUCUUAAAUCAAAAAGACCCUAGGUCUCUAUCACUUAUGGUUUACCAGUUAGAAAUGCAUAUCACUUAUAUCAUAUACAAAAGGGGGGAUAACGCUCAUAUGGAGUCUCCGGAUAGCUUUGAUCAAAAUAAAACAGAACAUCCUGAGGAUAUAACGAGCAAUUUGGAAAAAUAAAUUUGUCGGUUUCUUAUACGGUUGCGAAGCCUUAGAUAUAACAAGAAAAACAGUGUUUGGGGAGAUAACUCUUACAAGGUAAAGUUUUUUGUUACGCGGUGUCAGUUUCAGAAGCGUAUUAACUGUUCGAUAUCAUAUACCAUAUAUCUAAGCGACAUCUUGGGAAACAAAAAAACAGUGAAGGAAAAAAAAAAUUGGCGGAAGAAAAAAAAAAAUAAUUAAAAACCAAUUGUUCAAAGAACAAUUGAAGGUCUUUCAACUAAUAAAGAUCUAUUUUGAUAUGAAAAUAUUAAAAUUCAGUUAAAAAUGUCAGUUCCUAUGGCUUUAUGAUGUAUAAAUAUGAAUUUAAAGCAAAGGUCAAAAUCUAGAACGUCCAAUUAACCUUUGACCUUGACCUCAAUUUCAAGGUCAUAGACUUAACAUCUCGAAUCAAAAGACACUAGUUCCUUAAUAUGUAUGUUCAUGAGUAAUAUCACUUUACGCAUAAUUCUAAAUAUAAGAGAGGCAAAAACUCCCAUUUAUUGUCUACGCACCCUUCCAAUCAAAAUUUAUGAGUUACGACAUGUCGCAACUAACAAUUUAGUAAAAAUAAUUUGUUGAAAUCUUAUAAAGUUAAUGAAAGUAAGUGAAAAUAAGCCAAAAUCAAAAUUUAAAAUUUGACCUUGACCUUUGACCUUGACCUAAUUUUCAUUUUUUUUGGACCAAGGAUCUUAAAUCAAAAGACCCUAGGUCUCUAUCACUUAUGGUUUACCAGUUAGAAAUGCAUAUCACUUAUUAUCAUAUAUAAAAGGGGGGAUAACUCUCAUAUGGAGUCUCCGGAUAGCUUCGGUCAAAAUGAAACAGAACAUCCUGAGGAUAUAACGAGCAAUUUGGAAAAAUAAAUUUGUCGGUUUCUUAUACGGUUGCGAAGCCUUAGAGAUAACAAGAAAAACAGUGUUCGGGGAGAUAACUCUUACAU
rnacentral:lncRNA from 1 species